GAACUUAUCUGGCAAGGGAGACACCAUGAUGACAAAGGUGGUUGUCCCCGGGUGAGGCUCAUCGAUCGCACCCUGGAUGUGCAGACCCCUGUGGUGUCCCCAAAUGUGGGGACCCGAGUGCACCAUCCGUGGUGGUGGGGGCUCUGCCUUUGUGUUCUUCCCUG